UACGAAGGGGGCUAGCGUUGUUCGGAAUUACUGGGCGUAAAGGGCGCGUAGGCGGUCCUGUUCGUCGGAUGUGAAAGGCCUGGGCUCAACCUGGGAACUGCAUCCGAUACGGCGGGACUGGAGUGUGGGAGAGGUUGGUGGAAUUCCCAGUGUAGAGGUGAAAUUCGUAGAUAUUGGGAAGAACACCGGUGGCGAAGGCGGCCAACUGGACCACAACUGACGCUGAGGCGCGAAAGCGUGGGGAGCAAACAGG
rnacentral:rRNA from 1 species